rnacentral:lncRNA from 1 species
CCUCUGUAAGGGCUGCUUUAAGGUGCUCAAGAUGUUCUGCGUCGGGUGUCUCGUCCACUGCUAAAAUGACCAGCUGGGCAGGGGGGGCCUCCAAGCUGUCGCUAUCACUGCCCUCUAGAUAGUCCACUGCCUCUCCUGCCAACUCCGGGCAGCUCUGCAAGUUUCACACAAAGCACUGCUCAACAAAAGCUGCAUUCGGUAAUGCCUGUUUUUCUGUAGCAUUGAGCCAUGACGGUAUUUUCUGGGACGCCAUCCUGCCCAUGGUCAGCAGUAGCCAAGAGUGCACUGUCUGGAGACUGCCGAAUCAGUAAAGUUGGUAGUAAUUCAGAGAUUGGCCUCGAGGUGUUUGAGCAUAUGAUUGCUGAGAAGAGGAUAGGCCGCACAUGCGAGUCCAGCAAGGAUAGGGAGCUUGCAUCGCUGCUGGACUGGCCGCAGAAGUAACACUGCCACAUCCCGCUCCUCU